rnacentral:rRNA from 1 species
CAGCAGCCACGGGAAUACGGAGGGUGCAAGCGUUAUCCGGAUUUAUUGGGCGUAAAGCGUGCGCAGGCGGUUAUAUAAGACAGAUGUGAAAUCCCCGGGCUCAACCUGGGAACUGCAUUUGUGACUGUAUAGCUAGAGUACGGCAGAGGGGGAUGGAAUUCCGCGUGUAGCAGUGAAAUGCGUAGAUAUGCGGAGGAACACCGAUGGCGAAGGCAAUCCCCUGGGCCUGUACUGACGCUCAUGCACGAAAGCGUGGGGAGCAAACAGGAUUAGAUACCCCGGUAGUCCCUGUCUCUUAUAC